rnacentral:rRNA from 1 species
GAUGAACGCUAGCGAUAGGCUUAACACAUGCAAGUCGAGGGGCAGCACAAGGUAGCUUGCUAUCUGGGUGGCGACCGGCGCACGGGUGCGUAACGCGUAUGCAACUUGCCCUAUACAGGAGGAUAACCCGUCGAAAGACGGACUAAUACUGCGUAUGCUCACAACUUGGCAUCAAGUGGUGAGGAAAGAAAUUCGGUAUAGGAUAGGCAUGCGUCCCAUUAGCUUGUUGGUGAGGUAACGGCUCACCAAGGCAGCGAUGGGUAGGGGAACUGAGAGGUUUAUCCCCCACACUGGUACUGAGACACGGACCAGACUCCUACGGGAGGCAGCAGUGAGGAAUAUUGGUCAGUGGGCGCGAGCCUGAACCAGCCAAGUCGCGUGAAGGAUGACUGUCUUAUGGAUUGUAAACUUCUUUUAUACGGGAAUAACAAGAGUCACGUGUGACUCCCUGCAUGUACCGUAUGAAUAAGCAUCGGCUAACUCCGUG